CAAUGCAGCAAGUGUAAAGCACAAACACAAUCGUCACUGCUGCUUCCAAAUCCACUCCAUUAAAUGCAAACAUUGUUCCCCUUCUUUCCUUUAGCUCAGCCAUAUCUUCUCUUCUCUCUUUUUCGCGAUUUUUGGGCAGCUGAUCAAAACAAGACGAAGGUCUCAAAUGGAGAAAGCGCCCAUUAAAGAGCAACUUCAAGCGAUUGUUAGGAGUAAUGAAGGGAAGAUGGCUCAGUUUCCACUCAAGUUCAUUUUACCCUUCUCAUUUUCUUUUUUUUUUUUUUGCAGAUCAAACAUCUUCUUUGCAGAUCAAACCUGUUCUUCAAAAUUCUAGGGUUUCUCCACAAACCCUUUUUGGUCUGAUUUGAUUGAUUUUUGUUAAUCAUUUAUUUGGGUUGAUUUUGGGUUGAUUUAUAUGAGUUGAUUUAUUUGGAUUGCUAUUUUCUAUUUGGGUUGAAUUCGAUUUUUAUAGAAUUGAUUAAAACCUAAUUUUGUGGUGCUUCUGCUGUGCUUGUUCUGGGUUGAAUUCGAAUUUUUUAAAGCUACAAAGAGAUAAAUAAGGUAAGAGAGAUUCCAUUCCCAAAACAACUUCUUUCCUCAAAAAACAACCUAAAAAAGUUUCAUCUCAUUUUUGUGUGUUCUUUUACUCCUUUUUUCCCAAAACAAAACCCAAUUAUCAAAAGUUGAGAUCUGGAACAUUUUAUUGCGUUUGUGUGUUCUUUCUACUCCUUUUUUCCCAAAACAAAACCAAAUUAUCAAAUUUUGAGAUCUGGAACAUUUUAUUGUUUACCCAGAUGAAUUUAAUCAAAAAAAACCCACAAAAAUGACGAAAAUGGUGGUAUUUUCAAAAUACGGAGAAUGUUCUUCCGGUAAAAACUUGGGCGGAAAGACGGUGAUUGUUGAAAUAAGAUCAGACCAAGAAAGUAAACAACUUUAAACAUGGGCUUUAAUGAAAAUUGCUCAUCCUGGAGACCGUCUUCUUGCCCUUCAUGUUCUUCAUCACUCUUCUACUGGUUUGUCCAAUAUUUUUUUCCUGGAUGAAUUUAAUUGACUUCUUUGAUUUUUGAUUUUUGAAAUUUAUCGUGUUUGAAAUCAUUGUGUUUGAAAAUUGCUUAACUUACCUACAUUUUUCUGGGUUUUGAUUUUGGGUGUUUAAAUUUAUUGUGUGUUGAUUUUUUUAGGUUUUUAAAAUUUUUAUUUUGAGUUUUUGAAAAUUAUUGUGGGCUAAAUGUUUUUGUGGGUUUUAAUUUAAUUUUUGUGGGUUUCUUAGCAGGUGUUGAACGAUGCUUCUUUCUUUGGUGAAGACAUUUGAUUUUACUCUUGCUGUUUACGAAGGCUUUUGUUAUUUGAAGCAGUUUAUUUCGGUUUAAGCAUGGGCUUCUUGCUUCAUAGCAAAAUAAAUUGGAGAGCAUUCGUACCUGGAAAUAAGCAAGAUGAUCUGUGCAUUAGUAUUCAAUUUGUGCCGCUAAAAACGCAAGUAGUCGGACGAUUACCUAUAUCAUUAGCAAAAUAGUAGUAUUAUGAUGUUCAGAAAAGUUGCAAGAACUGCUCUUAUAUGUGCUAAACUCUUGAAUAAUUCAUUAGAAGUUCUAACAAAAAUUCCUUGUACAGUUGUGUACACGUUGGCGCAAGAUGACUACACAAGUAUAAACUAUCUACAACUGAAAACUUCUUUGCCUCACAUCCUAGUUCCUGAAUUCUCCAAAAAUUGUCCAAUUGGUAUAUAUAUGUAUGUAUAUGGUAAUAAUGUUAUAUAUUGCAGCAUAUGGCUUGCCCGUCAGUUUGCAGUCUUUCCCACAAGCAAAUCAGUUGUUUAGGAGAUUGAUAAUGGGCAGUAUAAUAAUCAUCAAUGCAGCCGGACUGAUGAAAACGCGAGUUGUACACAUAUUCCACUGGCCUCGACAUAAUUUUCUUUUAUUAUGUAUUUAUUAAUCUAGGACACUUCAUAAUCACCUGAGAUUAGGGAUGGCAAUGGGUAUUGGACCCGACCCAGAUCCGUGGAUCCGUAUUUGUUUUCACGGAUUUGGGUCCUAAAAAUAUAGACCCGUCGGAUCCGGAUCUGAGAAAAAUACCCAAACUCGGACCCGCGGAUCUGGAGGACCCGUUUUAUUUUUUUUUAUAUCAAAAAUAUGUUAAAAUACCUCCCUCAUAGUCACUGCCUCAUCACGACACACCCUCAUCGAUUCAGUCAUCACAUACUCCUCCCUUACUGCCUCUCACUCCCAGUCGACAGACUCGAGUACUCGACACUCGACAUCCCGCGCCUAAUUCCUGAAAAAUGUGAAAGCUUUUUCAACUUUUUCAAUCCGCCCCCAAUUCCUGAUGACGAUGAUGAUAUUGAUGAAGAAGCAGUGACUUUGAUUUUGAAGUUCUUUAAUAAUUUGAACCUCAUGUAACUACCAUUGACAAUUACCAAUUUGAAAUAUUGAUAUUUGAUAGGCGGCAAAGCUUCAGAAUCUGAUGGAGCAAGAUUAUGAGAUUGGAUUGACCAUUCGAGACAAAAUUAUUCCUCAUGCUGUAUCAUGGUUUACUGGAGAGGCAGCUAAGGGGGAUGAAUUUGAUGAUAUAAAUGAUGAUGGGGAUGAUGAAGAAGAGGAAGAUGACGAUGAUGAAGACGAAGACGAUUCAAAAACAAGUCAGACCCAUUUUGGACCCAGAUCCGGUACUGGAUCCGCAGUAUCUGCAGAUCCAGACCGGGGUGUUGCAAAACUAGACCCGCGGAUCCGAGUCCGGAUCUGGAUCCUGUUCUUGACAACGAAUCUGGAUCCGGGUUCACCUGGAUCCGGUCCAGAUCCGACCCGUUGCCAUCCCUACCUGAGAUCGAUAGUUCAAUACUAGUAUUGCUAAUUGUAGAGUUCUGAAAUUAUAUAAGUACCGAGUAUUUAAGUGUGUAGUGUAUAAAGAUUUUCUACUGUCAAACCCUGUUUUCUUCUGCUAUUCUUUGACAUUUUUCUAUUCUUUUUUUGUUAUCAGGAUUCAAGUUUUCCUUGUUCAUCCCUUAGUUGAUUUAAGAAAUAAUGGAUGAUUCGCAAUCUCAAAUCGGUUCUAAAGACUUUAAUACAUAUGAGAACAUUGCUGCAAACCAAGAGCCAUUUAAAAUGUUCCUGAGAGACUACAGCGAAGUCUGUAAUGUUGAAGAGUUUUUUAAAAAAAAGUUUAGAAGGAAUUAUUGCCAAGAAAAAUGAGUCAUUUAUAAAUCCAUAUAAUGAAUCUCGUGAGGAGAGAAAUGUGAGGAGAUUUUGCAAUGGCUAUCUAACUGUAGCCAAGAAUAUUAUAUUAAGAAGAUUGGAAACAUGGACUGAAAAUGCUUGCUUGCUUUACUAUCACUUGUCCAACGGACAUGAAUGGCCUAUUGCUAUUGAGGAAGAAGGGGCAUUGGAAGGGUCAUAGAAUUCACAUAUCUCAUGACUGUAAAGAAAUGAAGACUGUGAAGGAUACUGCAGAAUUCAAUUCUAUCAACUAUGAGGGUUGAUGUUAAUGAUGAUUUUGGUGAUUGCUAAUCGAACAUUAAGCAAGUUUAAUAAAUAGAUUAGUGCUUGUAACGAAGAUAUUGCAUGUAUUUUGCAUUGAAUAAUUAAAUACUUACUACUAUAGCAAGAACAGUGAAUAAGUAAUGAAUAUUAUGCUGCCCUACACUAGAUUCUAGAUGGGUUCCUACCCAAUAUUCUUAUGAAAGAAUGCACUAUGAUAUAUUUACAAAGAUUAUAUGUUUUUGUUGUUCCUACCCAACCUUUGUAAAUAUAUCAUAGUGCAUUCAUUCAUAAGAAUAUUGGGUAGGAACCCAUCUAGAAUCUAGUGUAGGGCAACAUAAUACUCAUUACUUAUUCACUGUUCUUGCUAUAGUAGUAAGUAUUUAAUUAUUCAAUGCGAAAUACACGCAAUAUCUUCGUUACAAGCACUAAUCUAUUUAUUAAACUUGAUUAAUGUUCAAUUAGAAUUCACCAAAAUCAUCAUUAACAUCAAUCCUCAUAGUUGAUAGAAUUGAAUUCUGCAAUAUCCUUCACAGUCUCCAUUUCUUUACAGUCAUGAGAUAUGUGAAUUCUAUGACCCUUCCAAUGCCCCUUCUUCCUCAGUAGCAAUAGGCCAUUCAUGUCCGUUGGACAAGUGAUAGUAAAGCAAGCAAGCAUUUUCAGUCCAUGUUUCCAAUCUUCUUAACGUAAUAUUCUUGGCUACAGUUAGAUAGCCAUUGCAAAAUCUUCUCACAUUUCUCUCCUUACGAGAUUCGAUCAUAUGGAUUUAAGAAUGACUCAUUUUUCUUGGCAAUAAUUCCUUCUAAACUUUAUUUUGAAAAUUCUUCAGCCUUACAGACUUCGCUGUAGUCUCUCGGGAACAUUUUAAAUGCCUCUUGGUCUGCAGCAAUGUUCUCAUAUGUAUUAAAGUCUUUAGAACCGAUUUGAGAUUGCGAAUCAUCCAUUAUUUCUUAAAUCAACAAAGAGAUGAACAAGGAAAACUUGAAUCCUGGUAACAAAAAAAGAAUAGAAAAAUAUCAAAGAAUAGUAGAAGAAAACAGGGUUUGACAGCACAAAAUCUUUAUACACUACACACUUAAAUACUCAGUACUUAUAUAAUUUCAAAAUUCUACAAUUAGCAAUACCAGUAUUGAACUAUCGAUCUCAGGUGAUUAUGAAGUGUCCUAGAUCAAUAAAUACAUAAUCAAUAAAAAAAAAUUAUGUCGAGGCCAGUGGAAUAUGUGUACAACUCGCGUUUUCAUCAGUCCGGCUGCAUUGAUGAUUAUUAUACUGCCCAUUAUCAAUCUCCUAAACAACUGAUUUGCUUGUGGGAAAGACUGCAAACUGAAGGGCAAGCCAUAUGCUGCAAUCUAUAACAUUAUUACCAUAUACAUACAUAUAUAAUACCAAUUGGACAAUUUUUGGAGAAUUCAGGAACUAGGAUGUGAGGCAAAGAAGUUUUCAGUUGUAGAUAGUUUAUACUUGUGUAGUCAUCUUGCGCCAACGUGUACACAACUGUACAAGGAAUUUUUGUUAGAACUUCUAAUGAAUUAUUCAAGAGUUUAGCACAUAUAAGAGCAGUUCUUGCAACUUUUCUGAACAUCAUAAUACUACUAUUUUGCUAAUAGCACAUAUAAGAGCAGUUCUUGCAACUUCUAAUGAAUUAUUCAAGAUUUUAAAAAUUAGUACUGCUAUCUCCUAAUUACUGUUCUAACUAACAAAUCUACUCAUAAAUAGAGGAAUUAAAUGGGAAAUUCACCAAAAAAAUCAACAAAUUUCACAGUUGAUUAACUUGUGCGCCAUGUCACCACAAUUUUAGAAAAUUCAAACAAAACAAAAAUGUAACAAAAAUAUAUAAUUACCUACUUCAAAUAAGAAAAGCAUUCGUAAACAGCAAGAGUAAAAUCAAAUGUCUUCACCAAAGAAAGAAGCAUCGAUUGUUCAACACCUGCUAAGAAACUCACAAAAGUAGAAUUAAAACCCAGGAAAAUGCAAGUAAAUUAAGCAAAAACAUUUAGCCUACAAUAAUUUUCAAAAACUCAAAAUAAAAAUUUAAAAAACCCAGAAAAAUGCAAUUAAAUUAAUCAAAAAAAAAAAUCAACACAAUAAAUUUAAACACCCAAAAUCAAAACCCAGAAAAAUGUAGGUAGGUUAAGCAAUUUUCAAACACAAUGAUUUCAAACACGAUAAAUUUCAAAAAUCCAAAAUCAAAGAAGUCAAUUAAAUUCAUCCAGGAAAAAAAUAUUGGACAAACCAGUAGAUGAGUGAUGAAAAACAUGAAGGGCAAGAGGACGGUCUCCAGGAUGAGCAAUUUUCAUUAAAGCCCAUGUUUAAAGUUGUUUACUUUCUUGGUCUGAUCUAAUCCCAACAAUCACCGUUUUUCCGCCGAAGUUUUUACCGGAAGAACAUUCUCCGUAUUUUUGAAAAUACCACCAUUUUCGUCAUUUAAUGGAGUGGAUUUAGAAGCAGCAGUGACGAUUGUGUUUGUGCUUUACACUUGCUGCAUUGAAUGUCCAUGAUCUAUCAGCAAAGGAAAGCAGCAGAGGUGGUGCAUGGGACCUGAUGUGGCAAGUGGAUGUACCAUUUGGCAGUGACGUGGCACUUUGUUGGCAAAAGAAUCUUAGCCGACUAAACCUAAAGUCAUAAACCCUCUCACUUGCUUCCGUAGAUCAUCAUCAUUCAUCACUUAACUAAACUUUGAAUGAAAUACUUCAUCCAUUGUUGUUGAAUUGAAAACCUAACCCCUAAAAAUGCUCCAACUUUGCAAAUUCUACAAACACCCUUCAUUUCUGUCACCCUUAUUUCUCAAUCCUCCACUCAUCUCUCCUCCCAUUAAACUCAUUUCUUUCUCUACUACUCUUCCUCACAAGCAUUCUAUUUCUCUUUUUCAUCCUGCUAACACCCUUGCAACUUCAAGUUCUGAAGCUUUUCAUACCAAAAAUAACGAUGAUACCUUCUUUGCUAACAAAAAUGUUUCAUGGGAUUCACUCGGUGUAUCUGAAAAACUCUUUCAUUCUCUCUUUAAUGCUGGCUUUUCUAAACCUUCCUUAAUUCAGGGAAAACUAAUGAAGUACAUUGGAGAUGUGGAGUAGACUAAGGAAUUUUUUCGGCUGUCUUCUACUCUGUUUUGAAAUAGCAACUGAUUAAAGGAUUUUGCAACAAAUGGCCUUUAUAUUUGUUUGCUGAAGGGUGUCUGCACUCUAUUCCUGUAUGUCAUCAGGCAGCUUGCAUUCCAUCUAUCGGGAAAUGAUACAGGUUUUGCUGCAGAGACCGGAAGUGGUAAAAUACAUGGUUAUCUUGUCCCACGUGUUGAGAAGCUUCAUCAAGCACAUAGCAACCACCCCGGGAUAGAAGCUAUUGGUUAUAGAAAAAGCCAGUACUCUCAGAUGUCUCUUAUUCUAUGUCCUAAUGUUAUGUUGUGUGAGCAAGUGGUUCGUAUGGCUAACUCUGUGCGGUGAUAAUGGUGAACCUCUACUUAGAGCAGCUGCUGUAUGUGGGAAGCAGGGAUGGCCCCAUAAAUAGCUUUGUUGACAUGAUUAAAUUUUGGAUUUAUAGAAAUCCAUAAAAUUCUAUAGGAUUGAUAUCUAUUCUAGUGUCUGUCUAGUAUUCUUCUUUUCCAUGGACUUUGUACUACAACAAGAGAGGUAGAUUGAUAUCUUAGAAUUUUGCGACACUUACCAAUUUGAAAAUAUAUGAAUUUGAGUCAUACGUGUUCACCUGUUUAUCCUGUCAAAAAUAAAUAAAUAAAUAAAUAUAUAUAUAUAUAUAUAUAUAUAUAUAUAUAUAUGUAUAUAUAUAUAUAUAUAUACACACACACACGAUGACCAAAAUACCCGCACACCACAUUCCUAACCAUCGGACCAUACAACACUCCUAUGACACCCCCUCAAUCAAAGAAGGAGGUGAUCGGACAUUGAGAUUGGACCGAAACUCAUCAAAUAAAACCCGAGGCAAGCCUUUCAUAAAUAUGUCUGCAAUAUUAAAAUGAGAGGUGACAUGUAACACCCGGGCUUGACCAGGAGCCACCUUCUCACGAACAAAUUGAAUAUCCAACUCAAUAUGUUUAGUGUGCUGGUGCUGGAUAGGAUUUCCCGAAAGAUAAAUGGCACUAACAUUAUCACAGUAGACUAAGGAAGCUCUAGGAGAAGAUUACGAAGCCAAUUAGUCUCGGCAACCACAUUGGCAACGACACGAUACUCAGCCUUCGUACUAGAACAAGAAAUAGUAGAUUGUCUCUUUGUGGACCAUGAAAUCAAGUUAUCACCAAGAUACACACAAUAUCCAGACGUGGACCGUCUAGUAUCAGGACAAAUAGCCCAAUCCGCAUCAGUAUAACACACUAAGGAUGAUGACGAAGUAGCGGUAAGAUGAAGACCCAAUUGUAUAGUACCCUAACAUAUCGAAUAAUACGCUUCAAAGCAUGGAAAUGAUGUUUCCUAGGAUCAUGCAUAUGGAGACAGAUUUGCUGCACAGCAUAAGAUAUAUCCGGACGAGUGAAGGUUAGAUACUGAAGAGCUUCGAUAAGACUUCGAUAAAGGGUCGCAUCAAAAACUAGAGAGCUCCUCGUUAAGUUUGCGUGCAAUAUCCACUAGGGUAUUAGAAGGCUUACAUGAUGACAUACCAACCCACUCAAUUAUAUCAGUAGCAUACUUAUCCUAAGAAAAAAAAAACCAUUUGUAGUACGAGUAACUUUAAUACCCAAAAAAUAAUGAAGAAGGCCCAGUUCCUUCAUAACAAACUCAGAAGACAAAAGAGAUGAUAUUUUGUCGGAGAGACUCAAAUGAAGCAGUCAACACAAUAUCAUCAACAUAUAGCAACAGAAAAGCAAUGUCCUUACCACUACGGUAAAUAAACAAAGAGCCACCAAGGACAGCAGUCGGCAGCACCUUCCCUUUCCUUGCAGCUGGCAGCGACCGUGACUCACCCCAAGCAGCUGGCAACGACUGUGACUCACCCAAGCAGCUUGCAGAGACUCACCUAAGCAGCAGGCGGCAGCAGCUGCGUUUCUUGGAGGUUCCCACAGCAGCAGCCGUGUCUGGCACACCACAGGCUGUCCACCUUCGUGCUCCACCACCACCACAACACCACCUAUACCCUCACCCUUUUCUAGUUUCUCCAUUCAGGGGGAUCAUAGACAAGCGUAGCAGGUACUGGAGCUUCUUUUGCAUUGCAUUGCAUUGCAUUUGGGAAGAGUGAUGAGAGCGAAGCAUUCCCUGUGUCAUACCGCUACCUUUUGAUUUUGUAGUUUUUGUUAUCUUUUGUAAACCUUGGUUGUAUAUGUUUUGUUAUGAGGCUUUGCGUCCUCCCUCGCAUAUUUGUAUUUCUGUUGCGUAGUUUAUAACUCUGUAUGGUUUUGAGGAGUUAAGUCUUUUUAAAACGCAAACGUCGACACUGGAACCACGAUCCAUGCUUGGCAUGUUGAUUUGAGAAGUCGGCGACGAAUUAUUCCGCCGUGACAUAGUUUUGAUAGGCCGUUGGUGCCUUUACUUUAUUAGUUUCUGAAUUAACUUUUGUUUUUCUACAAAGGCGCACAGUUUUAAGGCAGAUGCUGCCAAAAUUUCUACUCACCUUUUUAGAGUUAAUAUUUAACGUUUAUCUAAAUUCUAUUCCUUUUCUUUUAUGUAACACCCGAAUUUCCUCCUGUCCUUUACGGUUUUGGUUUCGUUAAGGGGUCGGAAAUUCUGGGGUGUUACAAGGUAUCAUAGAGACUAUUAAAAAACCCUAUCGAGUAAACAUACUCAGCAAAAUGCUGAUACUAAGCACGUGGAGCCUGUUUUGAGCCAUACAAAGAUCUCUUUAGUCGGCACACAUAAUCGGGAUGUUGAUAAUCACGAAACCCCUUAGGUUGAUGCAUAUACACUGUUUCGGCAAACUACCAUGUAAAAAAGCAUUUUUGACAUCUAACUGAUAAAUAGACCAGAACCGAGAUAAGGCCAGGCUCAGAACAACCCGUAUCGCAGUCGGUUUUACAACCGGAGUAAAUGUCUCGAGACAAUCCACACCAACUUGUUGAGAACUGCCAUCACCUACAAGACGAGCCUUAUACCUUGCAAAAGAUCUGUCAGAAUUGGUUUUAUGGCAAAAAAUCCACAUACAACGAAUAAUAUUGACUCUUGAUGGACGAGGAACCAAUUCCUAUGUAUCAUUAUGAAUAAGAGCAGUAUAUUCUUCUUGCAUAGCCACUUUCCAAUGAGGAUCCGAUAGAGCCUCUUUUGCAUUGUGUGGGACAAGGGAAAGUGUGGUGACCACAGAAAGAUUAAGAGGUUUUCGAGGUUUGAAUAUGCCAUGUUGGGAAUGAGUGGUCAUAGAAUGUCUAGGCAAGGCCGGCUGAGGAUGGGGAGAAGAGGAGAGGCAACCUAGAGUGACAGUAGCGACAUGAGAGCCUAUAUCACGUGGGUGAUUGGCCGAAGCCAGAUGUAGAGGCUGGGACGAAGAAUUAGACUGAAAAGAAGGAAGAGGCAUGCUAACUUCAUCAAUCGAGGAAUAGACUUGGACAGACUCACCUUCACGAGGUACUUGUGAAACAGAUUGCCUAGAAUGAGAAGAUGGAAAUUAAAGUUCUGGAACAUUGGGCUGAGGAUUAACCAUUGGAUAUAAUCCAAGAGGAUAAUGUGAGUCCAGAAAUUCAUAUUUUGAGGGCAUGGCCGAUUUAAGCUUGACAAAUGGAAAUUCUGUCUCAUGAAAUUGAACAUGAAGGGAAAUAAAAAUGCGAUUAGUCGAUAGAUCCAAACAUUUAUACCCCCGAUGAUUGGAUGGAUAACCCAAGAACACACAUGGAGUAGAGCGUGCUUGCAACUUAUUGAUAGUAGUUGAUGGAAAAAGAGGAUAACUGUAACAUCCUCAUAAUAGGUCGGACUUUUGAAAACACCUUUAAUGAAAAACAUGAGCCAAAACCUACUCAUGGAGUGUUACCGCCACAUCUAUUUCUAAUAAAAUAAAUGUAAGGCUUAACGACUAAGAAAUAACUUAAUAAUUUUAAAUCCAACAAAGGAUCUUACAACAAAAGAAAAGACUGAAACGUAAUUUGUGUGCAUAUAAAAUUUAAACAACCUAAGGUAAAAUUUAAACUGAAAUACGACUCUAGUAAAAGCUAUAUUUCUAAGUGAUCCUCACUCCGCGAUUCCCAUGCAAUCAAUAACCUGUAACAUAAGAAUGCAAGAAAAACAAGGGAAAAACUCCCAAAAUUAGAAAAAUUGAGUAAUUCCAACUCCAUCCCGUAAGACGAUUGAGUUUGAAAAUGAUUUAAGAAAAUACAAUAUAAUCAAAUUGGAAAUAAUUUUAGAAAAUAACAUAUAGCUGAGUUUAAUAGAAAACAAUUUGAGAAAAUAAUAUAUAUAAUAUCACAUAAACCAAUUUAUUAAUUUGAUAAUUAAUAAUGACAAACACAUAAUCAAUUUUAAAUUUGAGGGAACGAGAACGCCAGUAGGCCGAGGCUUUACCCCUAUACCUACUUCAUCAAGAGGUCGUCACCCCAAAUAAUUCAAGGCCAGCAGAGUAGUCUCAGGGAACCCUAGUGUGCACACCCCUUCUACUUGGAUCACAACAAAUAGAAGGAAGACCAAACAUCGUAUCAAGUAUCAGAAAUUAUAAUACCUGUCGGCAGCUAUACUAACUAAACAGGACAACCUGUUCAUCACCGUUAUACUUGGAUCACAACAAAUAUAAGAGCUUCGUUUCCCUCAUGUUACACUUUACGUGAUUUAAUAUAUUUUAAUAAUUAGUCGCGAGCACACAAACAUGCAAUCAAACAUAUAUUAUACAUUUUAUUUUAUGAUCAUAAAUUUUUCCCAAUAAAUAUAUAUAUCU